rnacentral:rRNA from 1 species
AUGCAGUCGAACGAUGAAGCCGGAGCUUGCUCUGGUGGAUUAGUGGCGAACGGGUGAGUAACACGUGAGUAACCUGCCCUUGACUCUGGAAUAAGCGUUGGAAACGACGUCUAAUACUGGAUACGAGCUUCAGCCGCAUGGCUAGGAGCUGGAAAGAAUUUCGGUCAAGGAUGGACUCGCGGCCUAUCAGGUAGUUGGUGAGGUAAUGGCUCACCAAGCCUACGACGGGUAGCCGGCCUGAGAGGGUGACCGGCCACACUGGAACUGAGACACGGUCCAGACUCCUACGGGAGGCAGCAGUGGGGAAUAUUGCACAAUGGGCGAAAGCCUGAUGCAGCAACGCCGCGUGAGGGACGACGGCCUUCGGGUUGUAAACCUCUUUUAGUAGGGAAGAAGCGAAAGUGACGGUACCUGCAGAAAAAGCACCGGCUAACUACGUGCCAGCAGCCGCGGUAAUACGUAGGGUGCAAGCGUUAUCCGGAAUUAUUGGGCGUAAAGAGCUCGUAGGCGGUUUGUCGCGUCUGCUGUGAAAACUGGAGGCUCAACCUCCAGCCUGCAGUGGGUACGGGCAGACUAGAGUGCGGUAGGGGAGAUUGGAAUUCCUGGUGUAGCGGUGGAAUGCGCAGAUAUCAGGAGGAACACCAAUGGCGAAGGCAGAUCUCUGGGCCGUAACUGACGCUGAGGAGCGAAAGCAUGGGGAGCGAACAGGAUUAGAUACCCUGGUAGUCCAUGCCGUAAACGUUGGGAACUAGAUGUAGGGACCAUUCCACGGUUUCUGUGUCGCAGCUAACGCAUUAAGUUCCCCGCCUGGGGAGUACGGCCGCAAGGCUAAAACUCAAAGGAAUUGACGGGGGCCCGCACAAGCGGGGGAGCAUGCGGAUUAAUUCGAUGCAAC